AUAAUACGUGUAUGGAAGACGACAUUCAAAACUAUUUACCAACUGUCAUGUUUAGUGGGACACCCUGUAGGUAAUAAACUAAAGUAUAAGGCGAGUACUUAGUUCCCUUAAAUUCAUUCCCCAUCUUUCGUAAUCAAGCUCUUCGCUCAAUUUAUGUUCGCUAUAGCUGGCCAAAUGGCUGAACCAAAUUGGCAGAUUUUUUUAGAAAACUUGUUGUUCCCUAGGAGUGACAAAGGCUAAAAAUAUGGAUCUAAUAAAAUUUCUGUGCAACCCCGGGCAAUGCGAACACCAUGAUUCAAGACCAAGCGCUGGUAAAUGCCGGGAUUAAUAUGAAACCUGCGCAAUUCAGCUAGUUAUUCAUAAUGCAUAAUUCAAUAAUUAGAAUUAAAAAUGUAUUUUGAGCAGAACUAUGAAUAUGCAGGGACUAGGGAGUGGGUUGAAUAAAAGGAUUUGCUUGCAAUCCUAUAUUAAAGAUUAUUAAUCUUAAACUCCCCGAAAUAUGAGAUAUUUGGCUGGUUCGUGGCAAACUCCUGCCAAUAAAGAAAUCAAUUCAUCAACUGCAAUAGAAGGAAAACUAAUUACGUUGGAGACUUCUGUUAAGAAAAUAUUAAUUACUACCAAGAACCCGGGGGUUGGUCAGCAUAUAAAUAAACAGAGGAGAAUAAAUGUGUUCCUUCGAGUAGUAGUUGUAGCUUUGACUGACAGAAGGAAGUUUGAGAGAUGAGAAACUGUGAUGCUGGAAACUAAUGGCUCUCUCUUUAAAUAUUCAGUAGACAUUGAGUAAACCAGAGUAUACUGUAAACUGGAUAAAAUGUACUUUCCAACAAAAACAAAUCUCACCAAAGUUAACAAAAGAAGUUAGAUUUUAAACUUUCUGAUUUAAAAACUGUUUUGUUGAUUAUGGUUGUUAUCUAAAUUGAAUAUUAUUGUUGUUUCUUGAAUUAAUUUUUGAGGAUGUUUUGUUAUUUCAAAUUGAUAAUCUUAAUCAAAACUAGCAUUGUGAAAUGAGACUGGGAGCACUUGAAGUUUGGACCGGGACUUCACUUGAUUUUUUUUUUCUCUAAUUAACAGAAACUCCCGUUGUACACAAGGAACCUGUUGUAGAAAUAUCGCGUAUUUAGCCUUUAAUACAUCUCUGUACUCCCUUUAGAAGAAUGUUAACCACCGUACUUCAUGUGGUAUUUCGUGUACUGUAUGUAAACGUGUAGGCUGAACCAAAUAGAUCGUCAAUCUAUUUGGGCUCAACUUCCUUACAGAGUAAUAAAUCAUUUCACAAGGAAGAUUAACUGCCGUUUUAAAUCAGAAAUACUUACGAGAAAGUCCGAUUUUAACUGGUAGAAACUAGAAAUGUAUAGUGUGCAAUGCCUGAUUCCCAUCAAUACCCUUUAAAAGUGUAAAAGUGAGAAGUAUUCUGCCAGUUUCUUUUCUUGUCGCUUCUUCAUGAAUAACUUUCAAGACAUUUUUAAAUGGAGGUUCACAUGAAAUUAUAUUUUCCCUUCCUUUACAGCUGGAUAAUUACUCAGAUAUUCUAGACAUUUAAAUUCAAUUUACUAGAUCAAAUUUGUAAUCUCCUUUCAGUAUAAAUGUUUAAACUUUUAAUUGUUGCUAUAACUGCUCACAUUUUCUAUUCAUACAUUAUUUUGUGUAAACUGAGGCCGAAUUUAAAGAAUUUAAGCCGCGGCUUGACUUUGAGACGCGGCUCAAAUAUGGUUGGUUCCACUUAAAAUUGUAUAUUAUUUUUCAAGAUGUUUCAAAUUCAUUAAAUUCGUACUCUGUAUACACUUUUGUAUUUGUUCAUUAUUUCCACUUUUAUAUGUAUAAUUGUAAUUUAACUUUCAUAAUAUUUGUGUUUAGAAAUGUACAAAUAUAUUUUUAUAUACUCAA